CACGUAGGGCGCAAGCGUUGUCCGGAAUUAUUGGGCGUAAAGAGCUCGUAGGCGGUCUGUCGCGUCUGCCGUGAAAACCCGAGGCUUAACCUCGUGGCUUGCGGUGGAUACGGGCAGACUAGAGGUAGGUAGGGGAGAAUGGAAUUCCCGGUGUAGCGGUGAAAUGCGCAGAUAUCGGGAGGAACACCGGUGGCGAAGGCGGUUCUCUGGGCCUUACCUGACGCUGAGGAGCGAAAGCGUGGGGAGCGAACAGG
rnacentral:rRNA from 1 species